GACGAACGCUGGCGGCGUGCUUAACACAUGCAAGUCGAACGGUGAACGAGGGAGCUUGCUCCCUCCGGAUCAGUGGCGAACGGGUGAGUAACACGUGAGCAAUCUGCCCCGAACUCUGGGAUAAGCGUUGGAAACGACGUCUAAUACCGGAUACGACGCGGGAGGGCAUCCUCUCCGCGUGGAAAGAACUUCGGUUCGGGAUGAGCUCGCGGCCUAUCAGCUUGUUGGUGAGGUAACGGCUCACCAAGGCGACGACGGGUAGCCGGCCUGAGAGGGUGACCGGCCACACUGGGACUGAGAAACGGCCCAGACUCCUACGGGAGGCAGCAGUGGGGAAUAUUGCACAAUGGGCGCAAGCCUGAUGCAGCAACGCCGCGUGAGGGAAGACGGCCUUCGGGUUGUAAACCUCUUUUAGCAGGGAAGAAGCGAAAGUGACGGUACCUGCAGAAAAAGCACCGGCUAACUACGUG
rnacentral:rRNA from 1 species